UGAGAUCAUGACCUGAGCUGAAGUCAGAUGCUUAACCGACUGAGCCACCCAGGCGCCCCUGAAAAUGUAUUUGUAGUAGAAGAGUAAUUCUCAAUCAAGGAUGAUUUUGUCCCCCAGGAGGCAUUUGGCAAUUUCUGGAGAUAUUUUUGUCACAGCUGUGGGGAGAGGGUAUGCCACUGACAUCUGGUGAGUGGAGGCCAGCAGCAAUGUGCAGGACAGCCUCCACAACAAAGAUUUAUUUGGUACGAAAUGUCAAUAGUGCUGAAGCUGAGAAACACUGGAUUAGAAGGAAAGCAACCAAAAUAUCCUAAAUGAGGAAUUGCCUUAGCAAACUAUGGCACAUCUAUCAAUAUAAUGGACUACUGUGCAGGUCUUAGAAAGUGUACUGUCAAAAUAUUUACAGAGAUGACAAUCUAAUUAUUAGUGCUUUCUCACACUGAACAGCCUAUAUUUCCUCACACAAAAGCUCUCUAGUAUGUUCUAAGUUUUAUUAUUCUUUGUUACAUCCAUGAUCUUCUUAUGUUCCUAACAAGGAGGAGAAUUCUUUGGGGAAAAGGUCAGCACUUAUUUACCAUUUCCCUCAACACACCUUACACAGUGCUGGUGCAAGGAAGGAAAACUGCAGUUAUUAUGCAGUGUAUUGGCUCCCUUUGGUUGAAGAUGUUGAAUUACCUGGAGGGAAAACAACCCUGGUUGAGAUAAAGCUAAAGAAGAGGAAGAGGAGCGACCUGGGAGCCACUGGGAACCAAUGUCAGGCCAUGACGACAGGAGGUUGCUAUGAACAGAGCCCACCCGAAGAGGCAGAACUGAGGAGAGAGACUCGGACUCUGGUCACAGCAUUUGAAUUGCCAAAGCAAGCUUCUUUGAAAGGAUAAAAGAAAGAGCAAGAUGGAAAUGAAACAAAUAUGCGUGUCAGAACUUCACUCAUUCGUUAAUGAUGUUUUAUAGCAUGUAACUGUGUUAAGGAAGAUUGAUAAACCUAAUAAACUUAUAUAUAAACCUAUCAGUAAAGGAUUAUAGAGAGGAAAUUCAAGUUCACUCUGGAGUACUUGUUAUAUCUCUUCUGGAACUUCAAGUUACAGCAUGUUAUGACUGUGAAGCAUCUCCUCAGUGGUUUUUUGCUUCUUAAUAUGAAAGACUGCCAUCAAUGAAGCUCAGUAUUUUAGAGAAUUGUGGUUUAAGUGUUGAGUUUCCCGUCUUACUCAACUUCAUAAUUCAGUAAAUGUCUCAUGGGGAAAAUUCGCCCUGUGUUUGAUGCCUUUAUAUUUACAAUCUUUCACUCUAGAUGCAUCCCUCUCUUGUGGAAAAACCUGGAUUCUUCUCCACUAUCUACAUUCAAGAUUAGCCAAGGCUCCAGGAAUAAUGUUACAGAGGGUCAAAAUACUGUUUCCAAAGAAUAACUAUUGCUGCGUAAUAAAUUACCCCAAACGUAUCAGCUAAAACCAACAUA